CAUGUUUCAGUUUCAAGUUAAAAACGGUGAAGAGUAAAAUUCAGAGCAAAAACAUAGUACGGAAAUUCAUUUCAUGCCGAACUGAAAGUGUAAGCAUGCGGAUUCGAUAAAAUAGAAUCGAGGAACCAUAGGUAUAUUUUUCCUGUUUUCGAGAUGGGAAAUGUUAUAUUUUGAUUUCGUGAAUCCGGGACAGCGCGAACGCAGGUCCCGACUACCAAAAAUUGUGCGCUCGACAUACCCACAUUAGGAGUAUUCGCAAGGUUCAGCUCUACCGCAGUGCAAUGGAAGAGCCUUGCCCAGAAGGAACCGCCUUCGUGAUCACGGUAUCCUCCGCGCCAACCUCACAUAAGGAUCUGAAAAGAUUAAGUGCCGUCAAUAAAUAAACAGUCGAUCCCUAACAUCGAGCAGCAAGUGGCCAGUCGCAAGUUGAAACAGUGGCCACGUCCCAUCUAUCAACGGGAUGGAGUAGAAAAAUAUGGGCCGGAAUCAAUUGGGAUACCGGAAUACAUUGGGUUGAAAUCAGAGAUGCUGCGAAUUCACGUGCAUGUGUAAAGCUUUCGCAUCAAUGAACCGAGAAUUCUGUUACCAGAAACAGUCUACGUAUCUCCUUCCAGUUUUGGAUAAUCGGAAGUUUUUCAUAUUUUGCACAUUGCAAUUUCGGAACAUCUACGCAAAAUUAAAUGUACAUAUUGUCCAUGUUCAUAUAAAUAUCAGAAUAAAGA